rnacentral:lncRNA from 1 species
CCAUCCCAGACCACCACGCAUAGCUUUGUGCCAGUGCCUUCAUCCUCACUAUUCCAGGAUGCAUAUCAUGCAGCAUGGAAACGACCCCCACUCUCGCCAGGAACCACCACCCGGUUGCCCCUCAACACAAAGUUCUUCCAACGAGACCAGUAUGGCCCAAACUGUCUGCUAGGAACCUCCCAGAGGCCCAUCCAUACAGGAUCCUUCAAGCUACUCCUCUGCCUGGUCCAGCUACUCCUCUGCCUGGUCCAGCUACUCCUCUGCCUGGUCCAGCUACUCCUCUGCCUGGUCCAGCUACUCCUCUGCCUGGUCCAGCUACUCCUCUGCCUGGUCCAGCUACUCCUCUGCCUGGUCCAGCUACUCCUCUGCCUGGUCCAACUACUCCUCUGCCUGGUCCAGACAUAUUUGUUUCUCUCUGCUCCUCUGUACUGUUCUGUAUCCACAUUGAACAAAAUCAAUCCAAAGAGUCCCCUUUGUACUGUGUAUGUCCAUGUAAUUGAAAGAA